UUUAGACUUGACAUCGAAAUGCAUUAAAAAACAAUCUAGAAAUCAGCAGAACUAUCGGAGAAUCAUCUCCGCACACUAAAAGUUACAGUCACAAAAUUCUACGUUUUGGGAUGGUGCCAACAAACGAUUGCUUCAUCAAUCAGCUUGUUUACUGUCUUCACCACAUUGAAGCCUAACCAAGUCAUCCAAGGAUGCUAUGCUCAUUGUAUCGAUUGAUAUGUUUGAGAAUGGAUAAGCUCUGAGUUCUGACAGUAUCCCCUUUCGCUUCAUUACUUCAUAUCCGCAGUCUAACAUGAGUUCUUUGCAUUCGCCUUCCCUGUCCUGGCUGCCGGUGCUCCCAUCUUGCAGAAUGCUGAAUGGAAUGUUGAGCCUGAAAAGAGCUUCUGAAGUAUUGAGGAAUGAUCGGUUUGCGACCAAGAUCCUCUUCAGGCGGAUUUCGCUUUCUGUUAGUGGCUUUUGUGUUCUCUUUGCAUAUAUAUUUUGAUUUUUAUGUGGGUGAGGCUUAUCAAAUAUCAAUACAUGGUGUAGCAGAAGAUGUAAUUUAUGUAUUUAUAUGCUCACCAUUUGUUGUAUUUAAUGCAAGUUCACCACGCUUGAAUCCUUCAUUUGCUACCACAGGAGCAGCAUGAUCCUGCAACAAAUCAACAUGUUUCAUUGUUUGUUGAAAAAAAAAAAAAAUGAACUUGUGUUAUUCUACUUCAAUUUCUGGACAAAGCUCCUGUUACUAUAUAUUUUGCUUCAUUCCAUGAGGCUGUUUUAGAUCAUAAUGUAAAAGAACUCACCGAAUGAUUUGUAGUUAAAGCAAUUGGUCCCUUUAGGCUA